GAAUCCUCCACAAACUGCAAACCCAAAACUCAGCUGAGAGCGGAGCCUAGCAGUUAAUGUCAGUCCACAAACCCAGCUAGUAGAGCCCAAGGGCCUGGGAUCAAAUGCUUCUUGAAGGCUGGGAACAGGACUCUCUGGGGGUGUCAUGUCUCAGGCUCAGGUCUCCAGGGCCUCCGGGAAGGUCAAGUGCUGGUUGCCUACUUUGGUUUUCAGACAUCAAAAAAUGGUUCACCGGGUGAACAAUGGCCUGACCAUCUGCGAGAUGUUAACUGCAUAAUGGAAUGUAACGCGAAGGGCUUUUAAAAACACGAAGAGAGAUUUUAUUGUAACUAAUCGUGAUGGAUGACGAGUGUGGUCACACUUGGGUCGUAAAUCUUUGUGCCAAGCCUGGGCCAAAAAAAAAAAAAAAAAAAAA